UACGAAGGGUGCAAACGUUGCUCGGAAUUAUUGGGCGUAAAGCGCACGUAGGCGGCUUGUCGCGUCGGCUGUGAAAACCCGCGGCUUAACUGCGGGCUUGCAGUUGAUACGGGCAGGCUAGAGUUCGGUAGGGGAGACUGGAAUUCCUGGUGUAGCGGUGAAAUGCGCAGAUAUCAGGAGGAACACCGGUGGCGAAGGCGGGUCUCUGGGCCGAUACUGACGCUGAGGAGCGAAAGCGUGGGGAGCGAACAGG
rnacentral:rRNA from 1 species